AAGAGGACGCAAAAAUCUUACAUGCAAUUAUGACCGGGGCUCGCAUAAAUUGGUGCCGGUUCGUCAUGACACAUAUGUAUGACGCUAUUGGAAAUGGUAGACCACUCCCUUAUGCCUUACUCAUAAUGGCUCUUCUUGAAGCCGCCGGCAUCGAUACCUCUGUCGAUCCUCAACAAAAAGCUACAAAGCAUUGAGAGAUUCACGAAUCUUCGCUUCCCAAUAUUGGCGAACAUCGUCCUCCUCCUCCUCCUACACAAUUACGACGUCCUCAAGCUCCCACUCUUCAAACCAUUUCGGAC
rnacentral:lncRNA from 1 species